GGUUGUGGCACGGUUUAAUAAGAUUAUGACAAAGCUGCUUUUGGAGGGAGCUUUGGACACGUUCAAGAGAUAUUCAGUUAAAGAAGAAGACAUUGAUGCACUUGAGAAGUCUCAGCUAGGGGAUUUUGUUUGCCGGAAAGAGAAAAAGCUAGAUACACCAGUUCUAGAGAAUGGAGAUAAUUGGAGUGUGGGCAGCAGCAACUUGUUUCCCUGGGCCGGGCUUUACUAAAACAGGCAAGAAUUUUGGUUCUUGAUGAAGCCACUGCUUCAUUUGAUUCAGCUACAGAUAAUCUAAUCCAAAAGAUCAUCCGAACAGAGUUUAGGGACUGCACUGUGUGCACUAUUGCUCAUUGUAUCCCAACUGUUAUUGACAGUGAUCUGGUUCUGGUCCUCAGUGAUGGUGCGUACACUAAUACUUCCCAUUUCUUCUUCCAUUUAGUGGACAUAAGUGUUGCUACAAUCUGCAGAACUUUUUCCUAAGAAUUUUAGUAUAAUCUGCAUUUGGUAAUGUUAUUAAUUUUCACGAGUAUUCAAAAAUUUGUCAUUUCUUUUUCUUUUAAACUUUUGACAAGAUAAAUUAAAUUAGUAAAAGGCUCUAGAAGAGAAAGCUGCCCUUGUAGAUCUGUAGGAACAAUAUCAACACCCACAACUCUUUAGAUAUCUUUCUUUUUCACUAGUAACACCAACUAAGCACAAUGCGUUUGCAUUGAAUCAAAUUUUCCAAGAUUCAUCAAUUUUUUUUGAUGUUCUUGAAAUGAUGAAAACUCAAGGAGAUUAUGGUAUACAAGAGUACAUAUCUAAUCUUGAUCCUCAGGAUAUGCAGGUGAAUAUGUAUCUUGAUUAAGAGUUAACUUUUAGAAUGUAAAUAAGGGUUUGAGAGAGUUGUUGGUCUUCGAAGUCAAAGUCUUAGGUUUGAUAUUUUACACUGUAAAAAUAUUAGAGAGUUUUGCUUCUCAUUUCUCAACUUGAGUGUGAUGGUAUGGCAAGUAUUACCUAAAAAUGAUUUUCUCUCUUUAGCUCACGGUAAUUGCUGGAAGCUGAAUGAAGGCUGUCGCUUCUUGAUUCUCUUGUGACUU